CGAAGAAAUUCGGAUUAACACCGCAUAAAAACACAGGAUAGCAUUAUCCAAUGUUCAUAUUUAUAGGAUUAAGAUGGGCGUGCGUGUCAUUAGCUAGUUGGCGAGGUAACGGCUCCAAGGCGACGAUGACUAGGGGAUCUGAGAGGAUGACCCCCCACACUGGUACUGAGACGGACCAGACUCCUACGGGAGGCAGCAGUAAGGAAUAUUGGUCAAUGGAGGCAACUCUGCCAGCCAUGCCGCGUGCAGGAAGACAGCCCUCUGGGUCGUAAACUGCUUUUAUUCGGGUAAACCUUAUUACGUGUAAUAAGCUGAAUGUACCGAAGGAAUAAGGAUCGGCUAACUCUGCCAGCAGCCGCGGUAAUACGGAGGAUCCAAGCGUUAUCCGGAUUUAUUGGGUUUAAGGUGCGUAGGCGGCUUAUUAAGUCAGGGGUGAAAGACGGUGGCUCAACCAUCGCAGUGCUUGAUACUGAUGAGCUUGAAUACACUAGAGGUAGGCGGAAUGUGACAAGUAGCGGUGAUGCAUAGAUAUGUCACAGAACACCGAUUGCGAAGGCAGCUUACUAUGGUGUGAUUGACUGAGGCACGAAAGCGUGGGGAUCAAACAGGAUUAGAUACCCUGGUAGUCCACGCCCUACGAUGAAUACUCGCUGUUAGCGAUACACAGUUAGCGGCUAAGCGAAAGCGUUAAGUA
rnacentral:rRNA from 1 species